AUGGCUUCACUAUGUUACCACACAAACAACAAGAUUACAAAUUAAAGAUAGUAACUUGACAUACAAUAUUCAAGAAUCUAAGAACCCUAAGACUAAUAAAUAUUAUUACCAAGCUCUUACUUUGACCAAGAGGAACUCAAUGACCUCAAGAUCCUAGUUUCUAGCCAAGAUUCAACCCAAGUGUCACUCCAAUUGGGAAUUUCGGUUUUGAGCUUCUCCAAUAGAAGAGAGAAGUUCAAAAUAUUACAAGUCUUG
rnacentral:lncRNA from 1 species